UGGGGGUUAUUGCACAAUGGGCGAAAGCCUGAUGCAGCGACGCCGCGUGGGGGAUGAAGGCUUUCGGGUUGUAAACUUCUUUUGCUCUGAACAAGGCAUGCUAAUGGGUGUGUUGAGUGUAGGGGUUGAUUAGCGCCGGCUAACUACGUGCCAGCAGCCGCGGUAAUACGUAGGGCGCGAGCGUUGUCCGGAAUUAUUGGGCGUAAAGGGCUUGUAGGUGGCUGGUUGCGUCUGUCGUGAAAGCUCAUGGCUUAACUGUGGGUUUGCGGUGGGUACGGGCUGGCUUGGGGGGAGUAGGAGAGGCUGGAAUUCCUGGUGUAGCGGUGGAAUGCGCAGAUAUCAGGAGGAAUAACGGGGGCGGAGGCGGGUCUCUGGGCUGUUACUGACACUGAGGAGCGAAAGCAUGGGGGGCGAACAAG
rnacentral:rRNA from 1 species